rnacentral:Y_RNA from 1 species
UGGUCCGAGUGCAGCGGUGUCUACAACUAAUUGAUCACAACCAGUUACAGAUUCCUUUGUUCCUGCUCCACUCCGACUGCUUCACUUGACCA